UUUCGCUUUGUGUGGUGCACAAAGAAGCGUAACGACAGCACUGAAUGACGGUUAACGGAGCGCAAGCGACGUUCAACAUACAAAGUCAAGCAGUGGAGCGCUUUGGGGUGGGGUGACUGCGUACCUUUUGUAUAAUGGGUCAGCGACUUAUAUUCUGUAGCAAGGUUAACCGAAUAGGGGAGCCGGAGGGAAACCGAGUCUUAACCGGGCGUUAAGUUGCAGGGUAUAGACCCGAAACCCGGUGAUCUAGCCAUGGGCAGGUUGAAGGUUGGGUAACACUAACUGGAGGACCGAACCGACUAAUGUUGAAAAAUUAGCGGAUGACCUGUGGCUGGGGGUGAAAGGCCAAUCAAACCGGGAGAUAGCUGGUUCUCCCCGAAAGCUAUUUAGGUAGCGCCUCGUGAAUUCAUCUCCGGGGGUAGAGCACUGUUUCGGCUAGGGGGCCAUCCCGGCUUACCAACCCGAUGCAAACUGCGAAUACCGGAGAAUGUUAUCACGGGAGACACACGGCGGGUGCUAACGUCCGUCGUGAAGAGGGAAACAACCCAGACCGCCAGCUAAGGUCCCAAAGUCAUGGUUAAGUGGGAAACGAUGUGGGAAGGCCCAGACAGCCAGGAUGUUGGCUUAGAAGCAGCCAUCAUUUAAAGAAAGCGUAAUAGCUCACUGGUCGAGUCGGCCUGCGCGGAAGAUGUAACGGGGCUAAACCAUGCACCGAAGCUGCGGCAGCGACGCUUAUGCGUUGUUGGGUAGGGGAGCGUUCUGUAAGCCUGUGAAGGUGGCCUGUGAGGGUUGCUGGAGGUAUCAGAAGUGCGAAUGCUGACAUAAGUAACGAUAAAGCGGGUGAAAAGCCCGCUCGCCGGAAGACCAAGGGUUCCUGUCCAACGUUAAUCGGGGCAGGGUGAGUCGACCCCUAAGGCGAGGCCGAAAGGCGUAGUCGAUGGGAAACGGGUUAAUAUUCCCGUACUUGGUGUUACUGCGAAGGGGGGACGGAGAAGGCUAUGUUGGCCGGGCGACGGUUGUCCCGGUUUAAGCGUGUAGGUGUGUGUUCCAGGUAAAUCCGGUUCACUUUAACACUGAGGCGUGAUGACGAGGCACUACGGUGCUGAAGCAACAAAUGCCCUGCUUCCAGGAAAAGCCUCUAAGCAUCAGGUAACAUCAAAUCGUACCCCAAACCGACACAGGUGGUCAGGUAGAGAAUACCAAGGCGCUUGAGAGAACUCGGGUGAAGGAACUAGGCAAAAUGGUGCCGUAACUUCGGGAGAAGGCACGCUGACACGUAGGUGAAGUGAUUUACUCAUGGAGCUGAAGUCAGUCGAAGAUACCAGCUGGCUGCAACUGUUUAUUAAAAACACAGCACUGUGCAAACACGAAAGUGGACGUAUACGGUGUGACGCCUGCCCGGUGCCGGAAGGUUAAUUGAUGGGGUCAGCGCAAGCGAAGCUCCUGAUCGAAGCCCCGGUAAACGGCGGCCGUAACUAUAACGGUCCUAAGGUAGCGAAAUUCCUUGUCGGGUAAGUUCCGACCUGCACGAAUGGCGUAAUGAUGGCCAGGCUGUCUCCACCCGAGACUCAGUGAAAUUGAACUCGCUGUGAAGAUGCAGUGUACCCGCGGCAAGACGGAAAGACCCCGUGAACCUUUACUAUAGCUUGACACUGAACAUUGAGCCUUGAUGUGUAGGAUAGGUGGG
rnacentral:rRNA from 1 species